GAAGAUGACGACAUGAUCGCAGCUCAGCAGGAAGCUCGGUGCUGCCGGAAUGUGGGGAGGCCAUCCGUCUCAUUCAGCGGCCCGGCAGGCCUUAUUAUGAUGAUGAAUUUUCAAGUUAUCAGCACAAAUGCAAUCACCAUCAUAGGCCAAGAUAACCCUCUUCAUCACUCACAGCCCAGUCUGGGACAGCCUCAGGAGGAAAAGGGGGGCACGGAGCUUGUCACUGGGGGGCAGAGGGAGAAGCAAGCCCCUGCCCCCAGCUCUCAAGCUCAAAGGCCUUCCUGAGCUGAGGCCAUUUGGCCUGACAACCCGGCCUGGUGGAGGCCUGAGGCUUGGGGCCCCUCAGGUGGGGCUCUUGGGGCUCACCCAGCUGCCACAUUGAUCGGGAGAGAGAAUGGGUUCCCCUGGACAUCUGGGAAGGCUGAGGCAGCUGUCCUGCCCAUCCAUCCCCAGGAGGAGUUGUCUCUGGCUCCUGCAGAAGCCCGGGGCUUCUAUGGACCACACGCCCCACAUCCGUCAAUCUCGAUUAAGGAGGGCCUCAGGGAGCUGGGGGCUUCUCCAGCCACUGCAGCAUUGUCCUGGAGAUGCCUGGCCUGGGGAUGAGGGGGAAGGAGGUGGGCGUGACUCCCAUCUGAAAAACCAUUAAUCCCGAAAUGGUGAUUGAGCACCCGUGACGAGCUGGCAUUGUGCUGUGUCCUGCACGUGCCGCACAAAGGGCAGCAAGAGGUGAUUGAUCAGGGAUGAAUGAGUGUCUCUUUCUUUAUGGACUUUCAAAGGCACCAUUUGGCAUCCUGAGCAGGAUGAUCG
rnacentral:lncRNA from 1 species